rnacentral:rRNA from 1 species
AAGCGGGUGCGUAACACGUGGGCAACUCAUGCCGAGCAAGUGGGGGAUAGCUCGCCGAAAGGCGAAAUUAAUACCGUAGUGUGAUCAGAGGCGACAUCCGCUUUCAGAAUAUCAACAACGCCCGGUGGUCAAGCCUGGUCGGCUCUCUUCUGUAGUGAGCCCAGGCGGUCUAUCAGCUAGUUUGGUUGCACGGUUAAUCUGGCUCCACCAAGGGCUUAUCGACUGGGUAGCUGGGUUCUUGAGAGUGACAGACCAGUCACACUUGGGAACUUGAGACCCGGUCCAGACUCAAACGGGUGGCAGCAGUCGAGAAUUUUUCUCAAUGGGGGCAACCCUGAAGGAGCGACGCCGCGUGGAGGAUGAAGGCUUUCGGGUUGUAAACUCCUGUCAUUUGAGAACAAGUUGGACGCAGUAACUACGCGUCCAUUGAUAGUAUCAGAAGAGGAAGGGACGGCUAACUCUGUGCCAGCAGCCGCGGUAAUACAGAGGUCUCAAGCGUUGUUCGGAUUCAUUGGGCGUAAAGGGUGCGUAGGUGGCGCCGUAAGUGGGGUGUGAAAUUUCGGAGCUUAACUCCGAAACUGCAUUCCAUUACUGCGGUGCUUGAGGACUGGAGAGGAGACUGGAAUUUACGGUGUAGCAGUGAAAUGCGUAGAGAUCCGUAAAGGAAGACCAGUGGGCGAAAGCGGGGUCUCCUGGACA